rnacentral:rRNA from 1 species
CGUGCUUAACACAUGCAAGUCGAACGGUGACGAAUGGAGCUUGCUCUGUUCUGAUCAGUGGCGAACGGGUGAGUAACACGUGAGUAACCUGCCCCUGACUCUGGAAUAACUUCGGGAAACCGAAGCUAAUACCGGAUAUGACACAGAGCCGCAUGGUUUCUGUGUGGAAAGUUUUCGGUUGGGGAUGGACUCGCGGCCUAUCAGCUUGUUGGUGAGGUAAUGGCUCACCAAGGCGACGACGGGUAGCCGGCCUGAGAGGGCGACCGGCCACACUGGGACUGAGACACGGCCCAGACUCCUACGGGAGGCAGCAGUGGGGAAUAUUGCACAAUGGGCGAAAGCCUGAUGCAGCGACGCCGCGUGAGGGAUGAAGGCCUUCGGGUUGUAAACCUCUUUCAGUAGGGAAGAAGCGCAAGUGACGGUACCUACAGAAGAAGCACCGGCUAACUACGUG